UCCUCCCCCUCCCCGACACUUCAUCUUCUCCAAACGUAUGCUUUUACCGUUACUUUCUCAAUCAAUGACGCUGUCAAAGCUAUUCUUCAAUGUUGUGGUCCAUCUCCCCUUGAUACUUCUCUUAUAUAAAUCUCUGUCUCAAAACCUAAAGCCACCCUAAAUUAAAAAACCUAAUCUGCAAAAAUACAUUCAUGGCAAUGAAAUAGUCUCAGCUUAUCACCAUAAAAUCUCCCGUCGCCAUGUGUUUCAACGACAUCUCACCAUGAUGAUCUGAGUCACAGCUUCAAUUCAGGAAACAAAUCUCGGACGCCUAGAUCUGGAAGCCAUGAAGCAUCUGAACCCAAAACUACGACUAAUGUUCACAGGGACGGCAAUGACGGACGAUAGAGAAGAAGGGACAACAAUCGUUGAGAUAUUAAAAAAAAAACAGCCUUUAGAUAGAAUACUCCUAGGAGGGAGACAAAAAUGAGAGGACUAAAUCAUCUUCAGAUGCUCGAACCAGUGCUCGUGCUUGAAUCGACCAUCCUUGCUUCCGCCUUCCGGUUGGUUUAAAGAAAGGUGCAGCCAAGUGUGUAAGAAAUCUAAGGUGUCUAAUGCUAACUUCCACUGGACACAACUUCAAUGGAUGGAAACCAUACCUAUGGUCUGAAUUAUUAACCCUUGAGUUGCUUAGCAAGUGAUGCUUAGAACUGAACCAACAACUAAGCUCACAUUUGCAGUCUCAGUGUUUAUGAUUUUCGCUCCUGGUUUGUAGAGACAGAGGGUAAAAGCUAUGAUCGGGUCAGUCGAACAGAGAUCGCGAUGUUGGUGAGAUUACAAGUUUGGAUUAGACAAGGGAGCAAUUGUUUGUGUAGGAGAACCAAAGGCUUCCGAGCUCCAGAGGAUUCCUUCUGACGUGUGGUCAGCAGGAGUAAGAUUAACUUUGUCUCAUUGAUUUGUUAGGAUUGCAGAGCCUGGUUUGUUAAUCCUCUCUCUUUUAUACCAAAUUAGUUUCUGCUCUAUUGAACAUAAUUGCAUUUCCAUUUUCUCUUCCUGGACAUUGAGAGAUCAUGAAGAAUUCGAGGUUAAGAUCAAUGGUUUAGUUGAAACUGCACCAGUUCCUGAAGAAGUCUAGAAUAUCCACUACGGUACUCUUUGGCCCGGUAAUAAUGUGCCAUGAUCAAGGUCUUCCUUGGAAACAAAGGUCUUAACGAUGUAGAAAACUACGAGCUCCCUAGGCUGGUUUAUGUUCUCGUGAGGAGGGAGCCCAGAUCCGACCAUCUUAAGAAGGUUGAAGAAAUAACUUUAUUGGUAAACGAUUAAGCUUAAUCUUUGAUUGUAUUAUUUAAACUGAAAUAUAAUGUUCUCUCGCAAACUUAACUGUGAUUACUACAUCAACAAUAGCAAAGCUCACAGAAGCAAUGUGUUUCCCAAA